rnacentral:rRNA from 1 species
UACGUAGGUGGCAAGCGUUGUCCGGAUUUACUGGGCGUAAAGAGCGCGCAGGCGGUCGUUCAAGUCGCGUGUGAAAGCCCCCGGCUCAACUGGGGAGGGUCACGCGAUACUGAUCGACUCGAAGGCAGGAGAGGGUAGUGGAAUUCCCGGUGUAGUGGUGAAAUGCGUAGAUAUCGGGAGGAACACCAAUUGCGAAGGCAGCUCGCUGGGACGUAACUGACGCUGAGACGCGAAAGCGUGGGGAGCAAACAGGG